GUGGGGAAUAUUGGACAAUGGGCGNAAGCCUGAUCCAGCCAUGCCGCGUGUGUGAAGAAGGCCUUCGGGUUGUAAAGCACUUUAAGUUGGGAGGAAGGGGUNCNGGUUAAUACCUUGCUGUUUUGACGUUACCGACAGAAUAAGCACCGGCUAACUCCGUGCCAGCAGCCGCGGUAAUACGNAGGGUGCAAGCGUUAAUCGGAAUUACUGGGCGUAAAGCGCGCGUAGGUGGUUCGUUAAGUCGGAUGUGAAAUCCCCGGGCUCAACCUGGGAACUGCAUUNGAAACUGCCGAGCUAGAGUAUGGUAGAGGGGGGUGGAAUUUCCUGUGUAGCGGUGAAAUGCGUAGAUAUNGGGAGGAACACCGGUGGCGAAGGCGACCCCCUGGACCGAUACUGACACUCAGGNGCGAAAGCGUGGGGAGCAAACAGGAUUAGAUACCCCCGUAGUCCGGU
rnacentral:rRNA from 1 species